rnacentral:rRNA from 1 species
AGGACGAACGUUGGCGGCGCGCAUAAUGCAUGCAAGUCGAACGAAGUCCCACCCUUCGGGGUGAAGACUUAGUGGCAGACGGCUGAGUAACGCGUGAGUGAUCUACCUUUGGGUAGGGGAUAACAGAGGGAAACUUCUGCUAAUACCGCAUACGGUCCGCAGCGUAGAGGCUGUGGACGAAAGGUGCCGGGUAACCGGUUUCCGCCCUUAGAUGAGCUCGCGUCCUAUCAGGUAGUUGGUGGGGUAAUGGCCUACCAAGCCUUAGACGGGUAACUGGUGUGAGAGCACGACCAGUCAGAGGGGGACUGAGACACGGCCCCCACUCCUACGGGAGGCAGCAGCAGGGAAUCUUCCACAAUGGGCGAAAGCCUGAUGGAGCGACGCCGCGUGAGGGAUGAAGGCUCUAGGGUCGUAAACCUCUUUUCUCAGGGAAGAGCAAGGACGGUACCUGAGGAAUAAGUGACGGCUAACUACGUGCCAGCAGCCGCGGUAAUACGUAGGUCACAAACGUUGUCCGGAUUUAUUGGGCGUAAAGGGUCCGUAGGCGGUUCGGUAAGUCUCCUGUGAAAUCUUCAGGCUCAACUUGAAGAGGUCGGGGGAUACUGCCGGACUUGAGACUGUUAGAGGCAAGUGGAAUUCCCGGUGUAGUGGUGAAAUGCGUAGAUAUCGGGAGGAACACCAGUGGCGAAAGCGGCUUGCUGGGACAGUUCUGACGCUGAGGGACGAAAGCGUGGGUAGCAAACCGGAUUAGAUACCCGGGUAGUCCACGCCGUAAACGAUGAAUGCUAGGUUUUCGGGGUAUCGACCCCCUGAGAGCCGUAGCUAACGCGAUAAGCAUUCCGCCUGGGGACUACGGUCGCAAGACUA